ACGCACGCUGGCUGCGUGCUUAACACAUGCAAGUCGAACGGAAAGGCCCCUUUGGGGGUACUCGAGUGGCGAACGGGUGAGUAACACGUGAGUAACCUGCCCUUGACUUCGGGAUAACUUCAGGAAACUGGGGCUAAUACCGGAUAGGAAUCCUUGCUGCAUGGUGGGGGUUGGAAAGCUUCGGCGGUUUUGGAUGGACUCGCGGCUUAUCAGCUUGUUGGUGGGGUAGUGGCUUACCAAGGCUUUGACGGGUAGCCGGCCUGAGAGGGCGACCGGCCACAUUGGGACUGAGAUACGGCCCAGACUCCUACGGGAGGCAGCAGUGGGGAAUAUUGCACAAUGGGCGGAAGCCUGAUGCAGCAACGCCGCGUGCGGGAUGACGGCCUUCGGGUUGUAAACCGCUUUCAGCAGGGGCGAAGCUUGUGGUGACGGUACCUGCAGAAGAAGCACCGGCUAACUACGUG
rnacentral:rRNA from 1 species